UACGGAGGGUGCAAGCGUUGUCCGGAUUCAUUGGGUUUAAAGGGUGCGUAGGCGGAUAGGUAAGUCCGUGGUGAAAUCCUGCAGCUUAACUGCAGAACUGCCAUGGAUACUAUUUAUCUUGAAUGUCGUGGUGGUUAGCGGAAUAUGUCAUGUAGCGGUGAAAUGCUUAGAUAUCGUUUGGAACGCCAAUGGUGAAAACAGACAGCUGGGAGUGUGCUGACGCUGAGACACGAAAGCCAGGGGAGCGAACGGG
rnacentral:rRNA from 1 species